GUGAGGAAUCUUGCGCAAUGGGGGAAACCCUGACGCAGCGACGCCGCGUGGAGGACGAAGGCCUUCGGGUCGUAAACUCCUGUCGAGCGGGACGAAUGCCGCGGGGAUGAAUGAGCCCCGCGGUUGACGGUACCGCUGGAGGAAGCCCCGGCUAACUCCGUGCCAGCAGCCGCGGUAAUACGGAGGGGGCUAGCGUUGUUCGGAAUCAUUGGGCGUAAAGGGCGCGUAGGCGGCUCGGCAAGUCAGACGUGAAAUCCCGCGGCUCAACCGCGGAACUGCGUUUGAAACUGCCGGGCUUGAGUCCCGGAGAGGGUAGUGGAAUUCCCAGUGUAGCGGUGAAAUGCGUAGAUACUGGGAGGAACACCGGUGGCGAAGGCGGCUACCUGGACGGGUACUGACGCUGAGGCGCGAAAGCGUGGGGAGCAAACAGGAUUAGAUACCCUAGUAGUCC
rnacentral:rRNA from 1 species